UAAUCUAAUUAAAUCACACAUACAUCGACACUGACCUCGGGGUGUCUAAUUUAACAGUGUUGACACUGUUAAUGCAGAUCGAGCAAAGGGAUGUAUGGAGGCCUAAC
rnacentral:sRNA from 1 species